UACGAAGGGGGCAAGCGUUGUUCGGAUUUACUGGGAGUAAAGGGCGCGUAGGCGGAUUUUUAAGUCGGGGGUGAAAUCACGGAGCUCAACUCCGGAACUGCCUUCGAUACUGAAAGUCUGGAGCACGGUAGAGGUGAGUGGAAGUCCGAGUGUAGAGGUGAAAUUCGUAGAUAUUCGGAGGAACACCAGUGGCGAAGGCGGAUCACUGGACCGUUGCUGACGCUGAGGCGCGAAAGCGUGGGGAGCAAACAGG
rnacentral:rRNA from 1 species